rnacentral:rRNA from 1 species
UGGGGAAUUUUGGACAAUGGGCGAAAGCCUGAUCCAGCAAUGCCGCGUGUGUGAAGAAGGCCUUCGGGUUGUAAAGCACUUUUGUCCGGAAAGAAAUCCUUGGCUCUAAUACAGUCGGGGGAUGACGGUACCGGAAGAAUAAGCACCGGCUAACUACGUGCCAGCAGCCGCGGUAAUACGUAGGGUGCAAGCGUUAAUCGGAAUUACUGGGCGUAAAGCGUGCGCAGGCGGUUUGCUAAGACCGAUGUGAAAUCCCCGGGCUCAACCUGGGAACUGCAUUGGUGACUGGCAGGCUAGAGUAUGGCAGAGGGGGGUAGAAUUCCACGUGUAGCAGUGAAAUGCGUAGAGAUGUGGAGGAAUACCGAUGGCGAAGGCAGCCCCCUGGGCCAAUACUGACGCUCAUGCACGAAAGCGUGGGGAGCAAACAGGAUUAGAUACCCUGGUAGUCCACGCCCUAAACGAUGUCAACUAGUUGUUGGGGAUUCAUUUUCCUUAGUAACGUAGCUAACGCGUGAAGUUGACCGCCUGGGGAGUACGGUCGCAAGAUUAAAACUCAAAGGAAUUGACGGGGUC